GGAAGGAUAGCUCAGUUGGUAGAGCACAAGACUCUUAAUCUCAGGGACAUGGGUUCAAGACCAAAUAUUCCUGAAUUGCA